GACGAACGCUGGCGGCGUGCCUAAUACAUGCAAGUAGAACGCUGAAGAGAGGAGCUUGCUCUUCUUGGGUGAGUUGCGAACGGGUGAGUAACGCGUAGGUAACCUGCCUGGUAGCGGGGGAUAACUAUUGGAAACGAUAGCUAAUACCGCAUAAAAUUGAUUAUUGCAUGAUACUUAAUUGAAAGAUGCAACUGCAUCACUACCAGAUGGACCUGCGUUGUAUUAGCUAGUUGGUGAGGUAACGGCUCACCAAGGCGACGAUACAUGGCCAACCUGAGAGGGGGAACGGGCACGAUGGGAAUAAGACCCGGCCCAGACUCCUUCGGGGGGCAGCAAUAGGGGAGCUUGGGCCAAGGGGGGAACCCUGAACGAACAAAGCCGCGGGAGAGAAGAAGGUUCUCGGAUGGUAAAGCUCUGUUUUAAGCGAAGAACGGGUGUGGGAGUGGAAAGUUCACACUGUGACGGUACCUUACCAGAAAGGGACGGCUAACUACGUG
rnacentral:rRNA from 1 species